UACGGGGGGAGCAAGCGUUGUUCGGAUUUACUGGGCGUAAAGCGCACGUAGGCGGAUCGUUAAGUCGGGGGUGAAAUCCUGGAGCUCAACUCCAGAACUGCCUUCGAUACUGGCGAUCUUGAGUCCGGAAGAGGUGAGUGGAACUCCUAGUGUAGAGGUGGAAUUCGUAGAUAUUAGGAGAACACCAGUGGCGAAGGCGGCUCACUGGUCCGGUACUGACGCUGAGGUGCGAAAGCGUGGGGAGCAAACAGGAUUGAGAAAC
rnacentral:rRNA from 1 species